rnacentral:lncRNA from 1 species
ACUUUGGGAGGCCGAGAUGGGCAAAUCACGAGGUCAGGAGAUCGAGACCAUCCUGGCUAACACGGUGAAACCCCGCCUCUACUAAAAAUACAAAAAAUUAGCCGGGCGUGGUGGCGGGCGCCUGUAGUUCCAGCUACUUGGGAGGCUGAGGCAGGAGAGUAGUUUGAAUCCAGGAGGCGGAGGUUGCGGUGAGCCAGAUUGCACCAUUGCGCUCCAGCCUGGGCAACAGAGCCAGACUCCGUCUCAAAAAUAAUAAUAAUAAUAACUAGCACUAACAUGAUGCUACAAUUUUUACUGGUUACCAAUUAAAAUUUCUGAGAAAGGCUUUUAAUAAAGUUUUCCAGACAAGUUAUAGGUGAGGUAACAAAGAGUCCAGAAGUCCCCUGGGUCAGUUUGAUACCUCUUUCCUCUGGACUUCAAUUUGCUUAUCUGCAAAACAGGAAAUUUGAUCCCUUCCAAGUGUCACCAGAGUUUUUAAAGAUAAAAAUGGAAUUCAGAUGCGAACUUAAUACAGUGAGCACUAGAGGGCAGUAGCUGGUUAAUAAGUACAGCAAUUAAGACAAAUGCAGGAAAUGACAGAAAAGGCUUUUCUUCUCCUUCCUCCUCACCUCUUCCUUCCUCCUCACCUCCUUCCCCUCUGCUCUUCUGGUACCCCUCCCCCAUUUCCCUGGUUUACACUAAGUUCAUAAAGUACAUUAAGAGGAAAGCUGGUCUAUUGAAAAUACUACUUUUCUUAUAUUUUCCAACUUAACAGCUUGACACAAAUCUCCAAGGGGUUUACAUAAGCUUUAAGUAGGCUGAAUAAAUAAAACCUUGAGUCAAUUUAACUUAACAAGUAUUUAUUGAAUAUCCACAUGUAGGCCAGAAUCAGAUUAGUAACCAGGUGCCUUGGAAUUUUAAAAUUUCUCCUCUCUUUAUUAAUGGAUUUAGCGAGUGGAAAUCAGGCUUUCUGUGAUGGUUUAUAAAGGUAUUUUCCUGGCUCUCUUGGAGUUCUCUGUCCACCUUGCUGCAGUCUUUGUUGUGAUGGGGAGACCACAUGGGAGCGGUCCAGAUGAGUGAUGCUACGGGCCCAAACUGUUAGUGGCCGUGAGGAUAUAGGUUGUAGGGGACAUCUGGAGUGGAAAGAGUGCUCUUCUCACACAGCUCUCUCUACUUACUGCCCCUAGGAUGGUGGGUGCAACUGUGGCAAGGGCAGUCAGGGUAGGGGAAUCCCUUAGAGGAAUUCAGCAGUGACUAGUCUGGUUAGCCUUUCCCACAAGGCCCAUUGAGUUAUGAGCCCCCUCCUUUGGUUUGUAGAAAGAGAAGGUAGCAGCCUAGAACAGGUGAGAAGAUGAGGUAGGUCCUUCUGCUCAAACAUCCUCUCUCCGUAUUUUACCAACACGAUACUGACCUAGGUUAAAAAGCUACUCUUGGCCAGGCGUGGUGGCUCACGCCUGUAAUCCCAGCACUUUGGGAGUCCAAGGUGGGUGGAUCACCUGAGGUCAGGAGUUCUAGACCAGCCUGGCCAACAUGGUGAAACCCCAUCUCUACAGAAAUACAAAAAUUAGCCAGGCAUGGUGGCAGACACCUGUAAUCCCAGCUACUUGGGAGGCUGAGGUAGGAUAAUUGCUUGAGGCCGGGAGGGGGCGGUUGCGGUGAGCCGAGAUCGCUCCAUUGCACUCCAGCCUGGGC